UACAGAGGGUGCAAGCGUUAAUCGGAAUUACUGGGCGUAAAGCGCGCGUAGGCGGUCGAGUAAGUCGGGUGUGAAAUCCCUGGGCUUAACCUGGGAAUUGCAUUCGAUACUGCUUGGCUAGAGUGUGGAAGAGGGAAGCGGAAUUUCCGGUGUAGCGGUGAAAUGCGUAGAUAUCGGAAGGAACACCAGUGGCGAAGGCGGCUUCCUGGUCCAACACUGACGCUGAGGCGCGAAAGCGUGGGGAGCAAACAGG
rnacentral:rRNA from 1 species